rnacentral:rRNA from 1 species
GAUUAACGCUGGCGGCGUGCAUAACACAUGCAAGUCGAACGAUGAAACUUAAAUGUUUUCUUCGGAAUGAACUUAAGUGAAUUAGUGGCGGACGGGUGGGUAACGCGUGAGUCACCUGCCUUACACAAGGAGAUAGCCGUUGGACACGACGAAUAAUACCCUAUGAAACUAUCACUUCGCAUGAAGCGAUAGUCAAAGUGUAAGCGGUGUAAGAUGGACUUGCGUCUGAUUAGCUAGUUGGUGAGAAAAAAGCCCACCAAGGCAACGAUCAGUAGCGGGCUUGAGAGAGGGUCCGGACACCUUGGGAAUGAGGCACGGCCCAGACUCCGACGGGAGGCAGCAGUGGGGAAUUUUGCACAAGGGGGGAAGACGUGAGGCAGCGAAGCCGAGUGAUUUAGAAGGCCUUAGGGUUGUAAAAGUCUUUUGUAUAGGAACAAAAUGACAGUACUAUACGAAUAAGGGCCGGCUAAUUACGUG